UAGCAUGGUAUAUAUAUAUCUUAGCACAUAGUUAAUCAAGGAUUGCACAUAGUUAAUAUCCAUCCUCUCUAACUUUACCUUGUUCAUAUUUUUUUACAUUGUUGACGUAGUAGCAACAAAAAUACAACGAACAUUCAUGUUUGGUCAAAUACAAAACAAAACAGCAUGUGGAAUUGCACUACACUCAGAAGUCAACGAGCUAUAAGUUGAGAAGCAAUAUGAUCACGCAGAAUAUCCAUCUCACGGUUACCCAAUAUUUGGCUUUGCUCUGCACUCAAUUCUUCCUGUGGUUCAUUAAU
rnacentral:lncRNA from 1 species